AGGAGAACCGGCAGAGGAGACACAAGCAGAAAACUAAACGGGCCAGAUGUGGCGCUGACUAAGUGGGCUCCAGCCCGCUGCAAGACGCGCUGCGCAGGAAGUCCCACAGCCGCCCAGGCGCUGCGACGCCAGCCAGAGCUAAAACACAUGGGCGCCAGAUAAGCGGAUGACGAUAAUAUGCCACGCCAGCGCCUGGAAAGAAACGCCGCCCAAAAGGAAACCUAGGGGGCCUGCACAGGUGAUGCAAGCGUCAGCCGCAAGUUCAACUUCGGUGACCCACCCUGAACCUCCUCCACUUCACAAAGCGCGCCACCCGCCGACCAGAUGGCAACAAAGUGCUCCAGCUUAGCCGCCUUGAGCUGUGCGGUGAGAAGCUGUGUGGGCAGAGCCGACAGGGUUUCAGGGGUUAGCGUGGCGGCAGUGAAACGCAGCUGCAUCACCCUGCGCAGCUCGCUGACCACCUCCCGAACCACAUUUUUUUUUUGAGGAAUCAUCCUUACAAGGUUGAACAGGGGCAGACGCGCUGCCCCCCUGCUGCCUGAAAGCAGCCUGGUCCCCGAGACCAGAACCCUGACAGGGCAAGAAGAGAAGAAAAGAGAAGAAAACAGAAAGCAAACACCUCGAAAACCGCCACCAACCACCCCCAUCCAUCCCACCACACCCCACCCCGACCCGGCAGACAGAGCAGGAGGCUGGCCCCCCCGCCCCCCGGGAGGGGUUGCACAAAAACACCGCCGGACCUAACCCAAGCACCAACCUACACCACAGCCUAACCGCAAGAACCACCACCACCGCGCGCCAGAAAAGAAAACACCAGCGCUACGCACUCGCCCCGCCCAAACCCACCCCACCCCCACAAGUCGGUUGCUUAAGCAACACCCCAGGAGAACCGGCAGAGGAGACACAAGCAGAAAACUAAGCGGGCUGGAUGUGGCGCUGACUAAGCGGGCUCCAGUCCGCUGCAAGACGCGCUGUGCAGGAAGUCCCACAGCCGCCCAGGCGCUGCGACGCCAGCCAGAGCUAAAACACAUGGGCGCCAGAUAAGCUGAUGACGAUAAUACGCCACGCCAGCGCCUGGAACGAACCGCCGCCCAAAAGGAAACCUAGGGGGCCUGCACAGGUGAUGCAAGCGUCAGCCGCAAGUUCAACUUCGGUGACCCACCCUGAACCUCCUCCACUUCACACAGCGCGCCACCCGCCGUCCAGAUGGCAACAAAGUGCUCCAGCUUAGCCGCCUUGAGCUGUGCGGUGAGAAGCUGAGUGGGCAGAGCCGACAGGGUUUCAGGGGUUAGCGUGGCGGCAGUGAAGCGCAGCCGCAUCACCCUGCGCAGCUCGCUGACUACCUCCCGAACCACAUGCUCCGACGUCUGCUUAGCAGGCUCGCGGGACCAGUACGCACACCAGACG
rnacentral:lncRNA from 1 species